rnacentral:rRNA from 1 species
CCUACGGGUGGCAGCAGUCGAGAAUCAUUCACAAUGGGGGAAACCCUGAUGGUGCGACGCCGCGUGGGGGAAUGAAGGUCUUCGGAUUGUAAACCCCUGUCAUGUGGGAGCAAAUUAAAAAGAUAGUACCACAAGAGGAAGAGACGGCUAACUCUGUGCCAGCAGCCGCGGUAAUACAGAGGUCUCAAGCGUUGUUCGGAAUCACUGGGCGUAAAGCGUGCGUAGGCUGUUUCGUAAGUCGUGUGUGAAAGGCGGGGGCUCAACCCGCGGACGGCACAUGAUACUGCGAGACUAGAGUAAUGGAGGGGGAACCGGAAUUCUCGGUGUAGCAGUGAAAUGCGUAGAUAUCGAGGGGAACACUCGUGGCGAAGGCGGGUUCCUGGACAUUAACUGACGCUGAGGCACGAAGGCCAGGGGAGCGAAAGGGAUUAAAUACCCCAGUAG